GUUCUCAACGAAUGGCCAGAGGAAGAUAUUAAUAGGAUCUUUUUUAAGGAAAAAGAAACUGAAUCCUCCUGGUUAAGGGUUUGCUGGAAACCACAUAGCCAGGGUCUGAGAAAGGUGGAUUCUUUUUAUUUAUUUAUUUUUGAGACAGAGUUUUGCUCUGUCGCCCAGGCUGGGGUGCAAUGGUGCGAUCUCGGCUCACUGCAACCUCCGCCUCGCCGGUUCAAAUGAUUCUCCUGCCUCAUCCUCCCUAGUAGCUGGGAUUACAGGCGUGUGCCACCAUGCCCAACUAAUUUUUUGUAUUUUUAGUAGAGACAGGGUUUCACCAUGUUGGCCAGACUACUCUCAAACUCCUCACCUCAGGUGAUCUGCCCGCCUCAGCCCCGCAAAGUACUGGGAUUACAGGUGUGAGCUACCGCAUCCAGCCAGAAAGGUAGAUUCUAAUCUGAUCUGUGUCUUCUAAUGCCCACUGUUCUCCCAUUGCUUAAUAUCACCGUAUGUUAGGCUGUUCUUGCAUUGCUAUAAAGAAAUAUCUAACCAUCCUUUUCUUGGGGUUGCACUACUGUCUAAUGAGUGCAUAAUGAGGGCAGUAUUGCUAACGCCUAUACAAUGCACCUGCAUCAACUAGAACUUUGCUUUACCUUGGUACAAUUUUUGGAAAAAUGAAAAACCUCUUUUCCAUGAAAUUGAAAAAAAAUGUUUUUGAAAAGGAAGAAAAAAAAGAAAUACCUGAGGCUGGGUAAUUUAUAAAGAAAGGAGGUUUAAUUGGCUCACAGUUCUGCAGGCUAUACAUGAAGCAUGGCACUGGUAGCUGCUUUGCUUCUGGUGAAGCUUUGGGCUGCUUACAAUCAUGGUGGACGGUGAAGCAGGAGCAGGCAUCUCACACAGGGAGAGCAGAAGCAAGAGAGAGAGAAGGGAAAGGUGCUACACACUUUUAAACAACCAGCUCUCUUGAGAACUCACUUACUACAAAAGAGAUGGUGCUAAGUCAUUCCUGAGAGAUCUGCCCCUGUGAUCCAGUCACCUGUCACCAGGCCCAACCUCCAUCCAAUACUGAGGAUUACAAUUCAAUAUAAGAUUAGAUGGGGACAACGUUCAGACUAUAUUACACCACUACAUGUUCUAGCGUAAAUACAUAUUUUACUAAUGUUAAAUCAAAUGUAUAAUAGAUCAUUGGUUUGGACUGAGCUCCUGUACUAGGCCCAACAGACAAAACCAAACUGGAGUCAGU
rnacentral:lncRNA from 1 species